rnacentral:rRNA from 1 species
CUAAGGUAGCGAAAUUCCUUGUCGGGUAAGUUCCGACCUGCACGAAUGGCGUAACGACUUCCCCACUGUCUCCAGGAUAUGCUCAGCGAAAUUGAAUUCUCCGUGAAGAUGCGGAGUACCCGCGGUUAGACGGAAAGACCCCGUGCACCUUUACUACAGCUUUGCAGUGGUAUCAGGAUGUGAAUGUGCAGAAUAGGUGGGAGGCUUUGAAGCCAUGGCGCCAGCCAUGGUGGAGCCACCUUUGAGAUACCACCCUUUUGCUUCCUGAUAUCUAACCGAGGUCCGUUAUCCGGAUCCGGGACCCUGCAUGGCGGGUAGUUUGACUGGGGCGGUCGCCUCCCAAAUGGUAACGGAGGCGCGCGAAGGUGGGCUCAGAGCGGUCGGAAAUCGCUCGUUGAGUGCAA